GACUGAGGGUGCAAACGUUGUUCGGAUUUACUGGGCGUAAAGCGCGUGUAGGCGGCUUUGCAAGUCGGAUGUGAAAGCCCACGGCUCAACCGUGGAAGUGCAUCCGAAACUGCAUGGCUGGAGUCUCGGAGAGGAAGGUGGAAUGCUUGGUGUAGAGGUGAAAUUCGUAGAUAUCAAGCAGAACACCUGCGGCGAAGGCGGCCUUCUGGACGAUGACUGACGCUGAGACGCGAAAGCGUGGGGAGCAAACAGG
rnacentral:rRNA from 1 species